CCUACGGGGGGCUGCAGUAGGGAAUAUUGCUCAAUGGGGGAAACCCUGAAGCAGCAACGCCGCGUGGAGGAUGAAUGUCUUCGGAUUGUAAACCCCUUUUGUCAGAGAAGAAAAUGACGGUAUCUAACGAAUAAGCACCGGCUAACUCCGUGCAAGCAGCCGCGGUAAUACGGAGGGUGCAAGCGUUACUCGGAAUUACUGGGCGUAAAGUGCGCGUAGGCGGGAUAGCAAGUCAGAGGUGAAAUCCUAUGGCUUAACCAUAGAACUGCAUUUGAAACUGGUAUUCUAGAGUGUGGGAGAGGUAGGUGGAAUUCUUGGUGUAGGGGUGAAAUCCGUAGAGAUCAAGAGGAAUACUCGUGGCGAAGGCGACCUGCUGGAACAUAACUGACGCUGAUGCGCGAAAGCGUGGGGAGCAAACAGGAUUAGAUACCCGAGUAGUC
rnacentral:rRNA from 1 species